rnacentral:rRNA from 1 species
UACGUAGGUGGCGAGCGUUGUCCGGAUUUACUGGGCGUAAAGAGCGCGCAGGCGGCUGGUCAAGUCCGAUGUGAAAGCUCCCGGCUUAACUGGGAAAUUGCAUCGGAAACUGAUCGGCUGGAAGGUGGGAGAGGGUAGCGGAAUUCCCGGUGUAGUGGUGAAACGCGUAGAUAUCGGGAGGAACACCAGUGGCGAAAGCGGCUACCUGGCCCAUUCUUGACGCUGAGGCGCGAAAGCUAGGGGAGCAAACGGG